rnacentral:rRNA from 1 species
AUUGAACGCUGGCGGCAGGCUUAACACAUGCAAGUCGAGCGGGGACUUCGGUCCUAGCGGCGAACGGGUGAGGAAUGCUUGGGAAUCUGCCCAGUAGCGGGGGAUAACGUUUCAAAAGGAACGCUAAUACCGCAUACGCCCUACGGGGGAAAGGGGGGGAUCUUCGGACCUCUCACUAUUGGAUGAGCCCAAGUCGGAUUAGCUAGUUGGUGAGGUAAAGGCUCACCAAGGCGACGAUCCGUAGCUGGUCUGAGAGGAUGAUCAGCCACACUGGAACUGAGGACCGGUCCAGACUCCUACGGGAGGCAGCAGUGGGGAAUAUUGGACAAUGGGCGAAAGCCUGAUCCAGCCAUGCCGCGUGUGUGAAGAAGGCCUUCGGGUUGUAAAGCACUUUAAGCGAGGAGGAAUGGCUCCGGGUUAAUACCCUUGAGCAUAGACGUUACUCGCAGAAUAAGCACCGGCUAACUCUGUGCCAGCCGCCGCGGUAA